AGUGGGAUGGCUGAGAUUGAUAAGUAGGCGAUAGGCUGUAAAUCUAUUUAGGAGUGUUUACGUUACUCUUCCACUA
rnacentral:tRNA from 1 species